AUUGAACGCUGGCGGUAUGCUUAACACAUGCAAGUCGAACGGCAGCAUGGUCUAGCUUGCUAGACUGAUGGCGAGUGGCGGACGGGUGAGUAACGCGUAGGAAUAUGCCUUGAAGAGUGGGACAACUUGGGGAAACUCAAGCUAAUACCCCAUGUCAUCGAGAGAGUAAAGCUGGGGACCUUUAGGCCUGGCGCUUUAAGAUUAGCCUGCGUCCGAUUAGCUAGUUGGCAGGGUAAAGGCCUACCAAGGCGACGAUCGGUAGCUGGUCUGAGGAGAUUGUCAGCCACACGGGAAAUGAGAGACGGUCCAGACGCCUACGGGAGGCAGCAGUGGGGAAUAUUGGACAAUGGGGGGAACCCUGAUCCAGCAAUGCCGCGUGUGUGAAGUAGGCCUGAGUGUUGUAAGGCACUUUCAGUGGGGAGGAGGUUUGGAAGGUUAAGAGCUAUUCAAAUGGACGUUACCCACAGAAGAAGCACCGGCUAACUCCGUGCCAGCCGCCGCAGUAA
rnacentral:rRNA from 1 species